rnacentral:lncRNA from 1 species
CUCAGUAAUGCCUCUUGUUUUUUUCACUUUUUAAAUAUAGGCAUGGAAUCUUUCUGUUUAUCAGAAAUCAUAAGUGUUUCUCAUUGCACCCAGCCCCUUCUCUUUGCCUGGAUAGGUAAAGGCAACUCUUAGCCUCUUAGAACCUUACAACAUUAUAUACAGGUUACCCCAUGCUAGAACAAUCUCUACAAAAGUAACCAAAGACUGUAGUAAAAUUUCAGUUUUAUGAGCUAAAGGAAAAGACUGAUGGCUGCUCAGGUUAAGAGGCUGGAAGGUGGACAGUUUGUGCUGUCACAGAUGGAAUGGCUCCAGGCAAGCCCACGUGUGUGAAGGGCAGCUCAGCCUUCCUCUGUAGCCUUGCUGCUCAUAUAAGGUGGAAUUUUAUUGCAGGUGACCUCAGAGCAUAGGUCUGGAAGGCCACUGGCCCAAGCAUGGAGACAAAGUCCACCUGGAAACUCAGAAGACCCAACAUUCUAUCCAGCAGAGCAGGUUCCAGGUGCAUCACAUGUGAAUCCCCUCAGCCCUUGGGACAGCCAGAGCUCCUAGGAGUUUGUCCCCAUUGGGUGCAGUCAGUAAUGUGCUGAUAAAUGACCACAGACUGGGGGUGAGGUGGGGAGAGGGGGAGCAGUAAACCAAGCCCCUGAUGUGUAGUGUUUGCUGAUUUUCAUGGUGAAAUACUGUUACUAUGGCAAAUUUUCUUUUUCUUUUUUCUUUUUUUUUUUUGAAACAGAGUUUCCCUCUUGUCACCCAGGGUGGAGUGCAAUGGCACAAUCUCGGCUCACUGCAACCUCCGCCUCCUGGGUUCAAGUGAUUCUCCUGCCUCAGCCUCCCAAGUAGCUGGGAUUACAGGCGUGUAAUCCCACCACGACCACCACGCCCAGCUAAUUUUUGUAUUUUUUUUUUUUUUUUUUUUUGAGACAGAGUCUCGCACUGCCGCCCAGGCUGGAGUGCAGUGGCGCAGUCUUGGUUCACUGCAAGCUCCACUUCCCAGGUUCAUGCCAUUCCCCUGCCUCAACCUCCUGAGUAGCUGGGACUACAGGCGCCCGCCCCAUUCCCGGCUAAUUUUUUGUAUUUUUAGUAGAGACGGGGUUUCACCGUGUUAGCCAGGAUGGCCUUGAUCUCCUG